rnacentral:lncRNA from 1 species
UGUGAGGCAAGCACUCUGCCAACUUGGCUAUAUCCUCAGCCCCAUGAAAUCGAUUUUCAGAGUGUCUUGAAACCACAAAAAUGUGGAACUGAGAGAAAUAAAUUUUCAUUACCAUUUAAACUUCAGGAAACUUUGAAACAGUAAAUGACAUGCAUAAGGUAUACAAAAAUAGGUGCAUAAAAAUGUACAACAAAGUAUAUGGUUAAGUAGUGUCCUUCAAUAUAAUUGCUUAUUGUUUAUAUUUGCUAUGUAUAAAACCCCAAAUUACAGGGAUUGAAGGGUUGUUUUUUUGGUUUUGUUUUUGGUUUUGUUUUUAAACAUAAAUCUGGGAAUGAAGUCUGUCCUGUAAUGGAAAUACUAAAUUAUUAGAAAUAAUUUCCCCUUUCUCUGAGCCUUGUCGUGCUAAUAGUAAUCUCUCAUGUUCCCCAUGUACCAUAAAGAAAAUGCUUGCUUUGGGCCAUGUGUGUAACCUUUCAUAGAAAGUCUGCUCUGACUUGACUGUUUUAAGAUGUCAUGGUAACCAAACGUUGAAAUUGUGUGGCGAGGUUGUAAUACCAACUUAUAAAAUUUAAAAAAAUAUUUUGUAAGAACAAAAGCUCUGAAGUUAAAGGAGAUCUUAUGCAUUGGGAACUAUUUAAUUGACUGGAGAAAUUUGACCCAGGAAGAUGAUUACUACUGGUGAAACUGGAAUUGAAGACAAAACUCAAUCUCUGUUCCUGCUGAUUGAUGGGGAAUGUGUAAGCUGCAGGCCUGUACAGCCAAAAAAAAUCCAUUUUAGUGUUAGCAGCUAAUCAAGGAAGGGGAUGCCUGCAGGUGUCAGCUCCAAGGCAAAGCCAGAUUCUUCCCCACUACUAUGACCCUAGCAGCUCACUGUUGAUUUUUUGUUUGUGUGUGUGCGUGCUCUUGUCUCAGAUUUAGAGAAUGAAAUCCAUAGACAACAACAGAAAGCAAGAAUAAGGUAUUAUGUAAGUGAGAAGAAAACUCCUGCAAGG